AUGGAAUUGCAAGGUUGGUUCAGUGAGGCUGGGGCUGCCUUUAGCCCUAUGUGCCUCCCUUCAGGGCUGCCUACCAGGAGCUCUCUGAGUCCCAGACCCCACGGCUGCUCGAAUGCAAGAUAAAAUUAUUUCUUCAGCAAAAAUGUACAUUUAGAAAGGUACUGAUUAAGAAUAAACCUUGAUGAUCAGUCAGUGUCAUGGGGACAAGCAUAAGAGGUACCUUGAUCCUGCCCCUGAAGGAACCAGUCUUUUGUCCUCCCUCUAGCUCAUAAGAACUCCUGUGAAGUCUUUUCUUUCACUACUGCGUUCAUAGUCUGUUCAUUUGGAUUCCCUGCUAUUUGGCAGUUGAGUCACUGACAUCCAGGGUGCAGAGUUAUGCUGAUGGCAUUAAAGCUAUCUGGUUGGAUAGCACAGGGCCACAAAAGGAAUGACAUCACAGAGGGGAGAUUAACAAGUCCUACACUAGCCUAGGUGACGACUGUGACAGGCGUCAUAGCAGCAAACAUCCUCUUAUUCUGCUUAUGGAAACAGGGGUCCCUGCAUUGGAUCAUGACCCAAUAGUUCACAUCCCAAGCAGCAUCAAUGGUUCUUUGUUCUCCAGUGUUGCUGUCUAUGUUCAGUUAUUUAUUUAUUUUU
rnacentral:lncRNA from 1 species